AAGUCGUAACAAGGUCUCCGUUGGUGAACCAGCGGAGGGAUCAUUACAGAGUUGCAAAACUCCCAACCAUUGUGAACCUACCUCACCGUUGCUUCGGCGGGUGGCCCGGGGCAACCCAGGCCGCGCCGGCACCCUUCUUCGGGGGGCCCGGCAAGCCCGUCAGAGGAUCGAAACCCUGUAAUUACUGGCCUCUCUGAGUAACUUAUACAAUAAGUCAAAACUUUCAACAACGGAUCUCUUGGUUCUG
rnacentral:misc_RNA from 1 species